AAACGACUCUCGGCAACGGAUAUCUCGGCUCUCGCAUCGAUGAAGAACGUAGCGAAAUGCGAUACUUGGUGUGAAUUGCAGAAUCCCGUGAACCAUCGAGUUUUUGAACGCAAGUUGCGCCCGAAGCCUCGGCUAAGGGCACGUCUGUCUGGGCG
rnacentral:rRNA from 1 species